CGUGUAGGCGGCUGGGUAAGUCAGAUGUGAAAGUCCCGGGCUUAACUCGAGAAGUGCAUUUGAUACUGCUCAGCUAGAGUAAGGGAGAGGAAAGUGGAAUUCCUGGUGUAGGGGUGAAAUUCGUAGAUAUCAGGAGGAACACCGGUGGCGAAGGCGGCUUUCUGGCCCUAUACUGACGCUGAGACGCGAAAGCGUGGGGAGCAAACAGGAUUAGAUACCCUGGUAGUCC
rnacentral:rRNA from 1 species